rnacentral:rRNA from 1 species
CCCGGUGAUGAUAGCGAUGUGGUCCCACCUCUUUCCAUUCCGAACAGAGAAGUUAAACACAUCCGCGCCGAAGAUACUUGGUAGAAUACCUGGGAAAAUAGGUCGUCGCCGGGA